CUCUUCGGAGGGAAGGCAGUGGAAUGAGCGGCGGACGGGUGAGUAACACGUAAGGAACCUGCCUCAAGGAUUGGGAUAACUCCGAGAAAUCGGAGCUAAUACCGGAUAGUUCAUCGGACCGCAUGGUCCGUUGAUGAAAGGCGCUCCGGCGUCACCUUGAGAUGGCCUUGCGGUGCAUUAGCUAGUUGGUGGGGUAACGGCCCACCAAGGCGACGAUGCAUAGCCGACCUGAGAGGGUGAUCGGCCACACUGGGACUGAGACACGGCCCAGACUCCUACGGGAGGCAGCAGUAGGGAAUCUUCCACAAUGGACGAAAGUCUGAUGGAGCAACGCCGCGUGAGUGAUGAAGGUUUUCGGAUCGUAAAACUCUGUUGUAAGGGAAGAACACGUACGAGAGGAAAUGCUCGUACCUUGACGGUACCUUACGAGAAAGCCACGGCUAACUACGUGCCAGCAGCCGCGGUAAUACGUAGGUGGCAAGCGUUGUCCGGAAUUAUUGGGCGUAAAGCGCGCGCAGGCGGCCUUUUAAGUCUGAUGUGAAAGCCCCCGGCUCAACCGGGGAGGGCCAUUGGAAACUGGAAGGCUUGAGUACAGAAGAGAAGAGUGGAAUUCCACGUGUAGCGGUGAAAUGCGUAGAGAUGUGGAGGAACACCAGUGGCGAAGGCGACUCUUUGGUCUGUAACUGACGC
rnacentral:rRNA from 1 species